UACGUAGGUGGCAAGCGUUGUCCGGAUUUAUUGGGCGUAAAGAGCGUGUAGGCGGCCUGAAAGGUCAGCUGUGAAAACUCGAGGCUCAACCUCGAGACGUCGGUUGAAACCAUCUGGCUAGAGUCCGGAAGAGGAGUGUGGAAUUCCCGGUGUAGCGGUGAAAUGCGCAGAUAUCGGGAAGAACACCCGUGGCGAAGGCGGCACUCUGGGACGGUACUGACGCUGAGACGCGAAAGCGUGGGGAGCGAACAGG
rnacentral:rRNA from 1 species